GAUAGUACUGUGUAACCCAUGUGUACAUAAUAGUACUGUGUAACUCAGGUGUACAACAUAGUACUGUGUAAUCCAGGUGUACAUAAUAGUACUGUGUAACCCAGGUGUACAUAAUAGUACUGUGUAAUCCAUGUGUACACAAUAGUACUCUGUAAACCAGGUAUACAAAAUAGUACUGUGUAAUCCAGGUGUACAUGAUAGUACUGUGUAACCCAUGUGUACAUAAUAGUACUGUAUAACCCAGGUAUACAUAAUAGUACUGUGUAACCCAGGUGUACAUGAUAGUACUGUGUAACUCAGGUGUACAUAAUAGUACUGUGUAACCCAGGUGUAAAUGAUAGUACUGUGUAACCCAGGUGUACAUAAUAGUACUGUGUAACCCAGGUGUACAUGAUAGUACUGUGUAACCCAGGUGUACAUGAUAGUACUGUGUAACCCAGGUGUACAUAAUAGUACUGUGUAACCCAGGUGUACAUGAUAGUACUGUGUAACCCAGGUGUAAAUGAUAGUACUGUGUAACCCAGGUGUACAUAAUAGUACUGUGUAACCCAGGUGUAAAUGAUAGUACUGUGUAACCCAGGUGUACAUAAUAGUACUGUGUAACCCAGGUGUACAUAAUAGUACUGUGUAACCCAGGUGUACAUGAUAGUACUGUGUAACCCAGGUGUACAUGAUAGUACUGUGUAACCCAGGUGUAAAUGAUAGUACUGUGUAACCCAGGUGUAAAUGAUAGUACUGUGUAACCCAGGUGUACAUGAUAGUACUGUGUAACCCAGGUGUACAUGAUAGUACUGUGUAACCCAGGUGUACAUGAUAGUACUGUGUAACCCAGGUGUACAUGAUAGUACUGUGUAACCCAGGUGUACAUGAUAGUACUGUGUAACCCAGGUGUACAUGAUAGUACUGUGUAACCCAGGUGUACAUGAUAGUACUGUGUAACCCAGGUGUAAAUGAUAGUACUGUGUAACCCAGGUGUAAAUGAUAGUACUGUGUAACCCAGGUGUAAAUGAUAGUACUGUGUAACCCAGGUGUAAAUGAUAGUACUGUGUAACCCAGGUGUACAUGAUAGUACUGUGUACAUAGAAACAGUCAGUGUAGAAGAGAAACAGUUUGAGCAGAGAAACAUAGGAUGGCGUCAUGGCAAUUCACUGUACUGUAGGCUAGGACUGUGGCAUCUGGCUGUAGCAAAGCAGACUGCAAGUAGCUAUUUCACGAAGAGUUCCACCAUAGAAAUAGUAUUAGAACACCACUACCUCCUAAGACCCAACUUAUCUCUGGCUACAUGUGCAAGUGUAGGUUACUCCACGUGCAUUUCUAGUGCUACUGUCUGUGGUGACCUGGCCCUAAUCCAUUUGAACUAUUCAGGAAUCACAGGUACUCCUUCAUAAUCUAAUCAAAUGUUACAUUUGGCAGAUGGGGACAUUGACAUUAGGUUUAGUAGAAAUCACAGCAUACUGAACAAGCUUCAACAAACACUCCAGUUGACACUAGUUGACAGUGGUUGGGGUCAAAGUACAAAGUCCAAAUUUCCAAUCAAUGUGGUAUUAUUUUACUUCU